rnacentral:rRNA from 1 species
AUUCUGGCUCAGGAUGAACGCUAGCGGCAGGCUUAACACAUGCAAGUCGAGGGGCAGCGGGAUGUAGCAGUACAUUGCCGGCGACCGGCGGAUGGGUGCGUAACGCGUAUGCAACCUACCUUAUACAGGGGAAUAACCUUUCGAAAGGGAGACUAACACCCCAUGGUAUUGAUUUAAGGCAUCUUAGAUUAAUUAAAUAUUUAUAGGUAUAAGAUGGGCAUGCGUAUGAUUAGCUAGUUGGUAAGGUAACGGCUUACCAAGGCGACGAUCAUUAGGGGUUCUGAGAGGAAGGUCCCCCACACUGGUACUGAGACACGGACCAGACUCCUACGGGAGGCAGCAGUGAGGAAUAUUGGUCAAUGGGCGCAAGCCUGAACCAGCCAUGCCGCGUGCAAGGAAGACGGCCUUAUGGGUUGUAAACUGCUUUUACAUAAGACUAACCGUAUAUUUGCGAAUAUACCUGAAUGUAUUAUGAGAAUAAGGAUCGGCUAACUCCGUGCCAGCCGCAGC